UGAGGAAUAUUGGUCAAUGGAGGCAACUCUGAACCAGCCAUGCCGCGUGCAGGAUGACUGCCCUAUGGGUUGUAAACUGCUUUUAUACAGGAAGAAACAGUCGUACGUGUACGGCCUUGACGGUACUGUAAGAAUAAGCACCGGCUAACUCCGUGCCAGCAGCCGCGGUAAUACGGAGGGUGCAAGCGUUAUCCGGAAUCAUUGGGUUUAAAGGGUCCGCAGGCGGUCAAUUAAGUCAGAGGUGAAAUCCCAUAGCUUAACUAUGGAACUGCCUUUGAUACUGGUUGACUUGAGUUAUACGGAAGUAGAUAGAAUGUGUAGUGUAGCGGUGAAAU
rnacentral:rRNA from 1 species